AUGUUGAAAUACCAGUUCCUGUACAAUUUCUGAAGUUAAGCAAUGGCAAGCCUGGUCAGUACCUAGAUGAGUAAUCGCUUGGGAAUACCAGGUGCUGUAAG